AGCGAACGCUGGCGGCAGGCCUAACACAUGCAAGUCGAACGGACCCUUCGGGGUUAGUGGCGGACGGGUGAGUAACACGUGGGAACGUGCCUUUAGGUUCGGAAUAGCUCCUGGAAACGGGUGGUAAUGCCGAAUGUGCCCUUCGGGGGAAAGAUUUAUCGCCUUUAGAGCGGCCCGCGUCUGAUUAGUUAGUUGGUGAGGUAACGGCUCACCAAGGCGACGAUCAGUAGCUGGUCUGAGAGGAUGACCAGCCACACUGGGACUGAGACACGGCCCAGACUCCUACGGGAGGCAGCAGUGGGGAAUCUUGCGCAAUGGGCGAAAGCCUGACGCAGCCAUGCCGCGUGAAUGAUGAAGGUCUUAGGAUUGUAAAAUUCUUUCACCGGGGACGAUAAUGACGGUACCCGGAGAAGAAGCCCCGGCUAACUUCGUG
rnacentral:rRNA from 1 species